rnacentral:rRNA from 1 species
CCUACGGGAGGCAGCAGUGGGGAAUAUUGGGCAAUGGGCGCAAGCCUGACCCAGCAACGCCGCGUGAAGGAAGAAGGCUUUCGGGUUGUAAACUUCUGUUGUCAGGGACGAAGCAAGUGACGGUACCUGACGAAUAAGCCACGGCUAACUACGUGCCAGCAGCCGCGGUAAUACGUAGUGGGCAAGCGUUAUCCGGAUGGAGUGGGUGUAAAGGGCGUGUAGGCGGGAAGGCAAGUCAGCUGUGAAAACUAUGGGCUCAACCCAUAGACUGCAUUUGAAACUGUAUUACUGGAGUGCUGGAGAGGAAAUUGGAAUUCCGGGUGUAGCGGUGAAAUGCGUAGAUAUAUGGAGGAACACCAGUGGCGAAGGCGGAUUGCUGGCCAGUAACUGACGCUGAGGAGCGAAAGCGUGGGGAGCAAACAGGAUUAGAUACCCCAGUAGUC